CCUACGGGUGGCAGCAGUGAGGAAUAUUGGUCAAUGGUCGCGAGCCUGAACCAGCCAAGUAGCGUGAAGGAUGACUGCCCUGCGGGUUGUAAACUUCUUUUGUCAGGGAAUAAAGUGUGGCACGUGUGCCCUUUUGUGUGUACUUUAUGAAUAAGGAUCGGCUAACUCCGUGCCAGCAGCCGCGGUAAUACGGAGGAUCCGAGCGUUAUCCGGAUUUAUUGGGUUUAAAGGGAGCGUAGAUGGGUUGUUAAGUCAGUUGUGAAAGUUUGCGGCUCAACCGUACAAUUGCAAUUGAUACUGGCAGUCUGGAGUACAGUUGAGGUAGGCGGAAUUCGCGGUGUAGCGGUGAAAUGCUUAGAUAUCACGAAGAACUCCGAUUGCGAAGGCAGCUUACUAAACUGACACUGACAUUGAUGCUCGAAAGUGUGGGUAUCAAACAGGAUUAGAUACCCGGGUAGUC
rnacentral:rRNA from 1 species